AGCCCCGGCACACUUUAGUGUGCUUCUUCAAAUUUGCAAUUUGCUGUGGAGAUCACCACAGGGCUUG
rnacentral:tRNA from 1 species